rnacentral:rRNA from 1 species
UGGGGAAUAUUGCACAAUGGGGGAAACCCUGAUGCAACAACGCCGCGUGAGUGAUGACGGUCUUCGGAUUGUAAAGCUCUGUCUUUAGGGACGAUAAUGACGGUACCUAAGGAGGAAGCCACGGCUAACUACGUGCCAGCAGCCGCGGUAAUACGUAGGUGGCAAGCGUUGUCCGGAUUUACUGGGCGUAAAGGGAGCGUAGGUGGAUAUUUAAGUGGGAUGUGAAAUACCCGGGCUUAACCUGGGUGCUGCAUUCCAAACUGGAUAUCUAGAGUGCAGGAGAGGAAAGGAGAAUUCCUAGUGUAGCGGUGAAAUGCGUAGAGAUUAGGAAGAAUACCAGUGGCGAAGGCGCCUUUCUGGACUGUAACUGACACUGAGGCUCGAAAGCGUGGGGAGCAAACAGG